rnacentral:lncRNA from 1 species
UAUUAUAGUGGAGUAGAUGAGUUGUCAAGCUCUCUGCUACAGAUCAAUUCACUAAUUCUCAUAUUCAUCAGCUAUUUAAGGCCACUAGCCAGAGAGUAAUCCCUCCACUGACUCUUUAAGGCCCCAAUGGAUUCAUAGAGCUAUGAUCAGUUUCUCCAAUCUGAUAGGUAUGGAGGCAGAUUGGGAAGAACACAUCCAUGGGCAUUAAAAGCAUUGGCAAUGGAGUGAGGUUAUACCUCAACCUCACUUUAACAGUUCGUCUGAGCUCAGUCACUGGCUGCUGCUAACUACAGCAACUUCAUAUCCAGAGGUAGCAGAGGGUUGGCUAGUGCUUAGCAAACCGGCAAGUCACAAAUCGGCAUGGACUCACACUCUGUGAUGAGUCUU